rnacentral:rRNA from 1 species
CACGCCGUAAACGGUGGGUGCUAGGUGUGGGGAACCUUCCACGUUCUCCGUGCCGCAGCUAACGCAUUAAGCACCCCGCCUGGGGAGUACGGCCGCAAGGCUAAAACUCAAAGGAAUUGACGGGGGCCCGCACAAGCGGCGGAGCAUGCGGCUUAAUUCGAUGCAACGCGAAGAACCUUACCUGGGCUUGACAUAUAGGGAAAUCUCAUAGAGAUAUGAGGUCCGCAAGGGUCCUAUACAGGUGG